UACGGAGGGUGCAAGCGUUGUUCGGAAUUAUUGGGCGUAAAGGGCAGGUAGGUGGUCUCAUUUGUCUGGGGUGAAAGCCUUGAGCUUAACUCAAGAAGUGCCCCAGAAACGGUGAGACUGGAGUCCUGGAGAGGGUCGUGGAAUUCCCGGUGUAGCGGUGAAAUGCGUAGAUAUCGGAAGGAACAUCAGUGGCGAAAGCGGCUUCCUGGUCCAGCACCGACGGUCAGGCACGAAAGCGUGGGGAGCAAACAGG
rnacentral:rRNA from 1 species